CGGGUGCGAACACGUACACAACCCUUCCUAAGGGUAGGGGAAUAGCCCAGAAGUAAUUUGGAUUAUACCCCGUAACAUAUAGAGUAGGCAUCUUCUUUAUAUUAUAGCUUCGGCGCUUAUUGACGGGUGUGCGUCUGAUUAGGUAGUUGGCGGGGUAACGGCCCACCAAGCCUACGAUCAGUAGCUGAUGUGAGAGCAUGAUCAGCCACACGGGCACUGAGACACGGGCCCG
rnacentral:rRNA from 1 species